rnacentral:rRNA from 1 species
CACGGGGGUUGCGAGCGUUGUCCGGAAUUACUAGGCGUAAAGGGCAGGCAGGCGGAUCUAUAAGUUUUUCGUUUAAGGCGUCAGCUUAACUGGCGUACGGCGGGAGAUACUGUAGAUCUGGAAUGCGGUUGGGGAAGACAGAAUUCCUGGUGUAGCGGUGGAAUGCGCAGAGAUCAGGAGGAAUACCGAAGGCGAAGGCAGUCUUCCAAGCCGUCAUUGACGCUCAACUGCGAAGGUGUGGGUAUCAAACAGGAUUAGAUACCCUGGUAGUCCACACAGUAAACGAUGAUCACUGGGUGUCGGGUUCGAAGAGGAUUCGGUGCCGUAGCUAACGCGAUAAGUGAUUCGCCUGGGGAGUACGAUCGCAAGGUUGAA